AAGCAAGAGCAUGACCACCAAAAAGAGACUGGAAAGUCAAAUUUGGAAGAUGGGAGGCCGUGACAACUUGAACAAAGUCACAGGAACAGGACGAUCAAAAGCGAAUCAGUUUGAUUGAAAGAGACAAUAAGAAGCUCAUUGAGAACCUUGCUGCCAUCCAACGAGGGCCAGCAAGGGUGGAUUGUUGGAAUAAAUGCUUUUACAGAAGGU